CAGUCGCCACGGGAAUACGGAGGGGGCUAGCGUUGUUCGGAAUUACUGGGCGUAAAGCGCACGUAGGCGGCUUGGUAAGUUAGAGGUGAAAGCCCGGAGCUCAACUCCGGAAUUGCCUUUAAGACUGCCGAGCUAGUAGGUGAGAGAGGUAAGUGGAAUUCCGAGUGUAGAGGUGAAAUUCGUAGAUAUUCGGAAGAACACCAGUGGCGAAGGCGGCUUACUGGCUCAUUCUAGACGCUGAGGUACGAAAGCGUGGGGAGCAAACAGGAUUAGAUACCCGAGUAGUCCCUGUCUCUUAUAC
rnacentral:rRNA from 1 species